GGGUUAGUAGGUCGGUCGUGCCACUGGUAUGAACUGGUUUUACUGAUUCCUCCCUCUUGAAGAACUGUAAUGCCAUUAAUUUGGUGUUGCGGGGAAUUUGGACUGUUACUUUGAAAAAAUUAGAGUGUUUAAAGCAAGCUAACGCUUGAAUACACUAGCAUGGAAUAAUGAAAUAGGACGUUCGAUCCUAUUUUGUUGGUUUCUAGGAUUGACGUA
rnacentral:rRNA from 1 species